rnacentral:tRNA from 1 species
UUAAGGGUAGUAUAAUUAAAUAUAGCAACUUUACAAGUUGCUGAUCCAAAUUUGGUUCUUAAU